rnacentral:rRNA from 1 species
ACUCCUACGGGAGGCAGCAGUGGGGAAUAUUGCACAAUGGGCGAAAGCCUGAUGCAGCAACGCCGCGUGAGCGAUGAAGGCCUUCGGGUCGUAAAGCUCUGUCCUAUGGGAAGAUAAUGACGGUACCAUAGGAGGAAGCUCCGGCUAACUACGUGCCAGCAGCCGCGGUAAUACGUAGGGGGCAAGCGUUAUCCGGAAUUACUGGGCGUGAAGGGUGCGUAGGCGGUUUAUCAAGUCAGGGGUGAAAGGCUACGGCUCAACCGUAGUGAGCCUCUGAAACUGGUGAACUUGAGUGUAGGAGAGGAAAGUGGAAUUCCCAGUGUAGCGGUGAAAUGCGUAGAUAUUGGGAGGAACACCAGUGGCGAAGGCGACUUCCUGGACUACAACUGACGCUGAGGCACGAAAGCGUGGGGAGCAAACAGGAUUAGAUACCCUGGUAGUC